UAUGGCCAUAUCACGUUGAAAGACCGGUUCUCGUACGAUCAUCGAAAUUAAGCAACGUCGAGCCUGGUCAGUACCUAGAUGGUUAAGCACUUGGGAAUAUCAGGUAC